rnacentral:rRNA from 1 species
GACGAACGCUGGCGGCGUGCUUAACACAUGCAAGUCGAACGGUAAGGCCCUUCGGGGUACACGAGUGGCGAACGGGUGAGUAACACGUGGGUGACCUGCCCUGCACUUCGGGAUAAGCCUGGGAAACUGGGUCUAAUACCGGAUAGGACCACUGCCUGCAUGGGUGGCGGUGGAAAGCGUUUGCGGUGUGGGAUGGGCCCGCGGCCUAUCAGCUUGUUGGUGGGGUGAUGGCCUACCAAGGCGACGACGGGUAGCCGGCCUGAAAGGGUGACCGGCCACACUGGGACUGAGAUACGGCCCAGACUCCUACGGGAGGCAGCAGUGGGGAAUAUUGCACAAUGGGCGCAAGCCUGAUGCAGCGACGCCGCGUGAGGGAUGACGGCCUUCGGGUUGUAAACCUCUUUCAGCACCGACGAAGCGCAAGUGACGGUAGGUGCAGAAGAAGGACCGGCCAACUACGUGCCAGCCGCCGCCGUAA